CGUGUUUGGACCCUGCUCCCUUCUAAGCCUCAAGACUCCUGCAUCCUGGCACAGCGACCAUAGGAAGCAAGUUGUCUAAGCUCUCUGCUUCUAGAGCACAGCAAAAGGAUUUCCCAAAACUCACAAUAUCCUUUCCUGACCCACAUCACCCAUGAAAAACUCAUGUAGAAGGAUGAAACUGACCACUUUUCUUAUACCUUUUACCAACAUUACAAUAAAAGCCUCUAAAGCUAGUACCUGCAUAACCUUCUCUUUCAGUUACUGAAUUGAUUGAUACGACAAUGAACAGUCUCACAUAAAUGUCAUCUCUAGGCAGACUUGUCCAGACCUACCUAAGAGUCAAUCCACUGGAGGAGGUCAACUCUCCUUUGGAGAAAUGUCCCUAUUUCCCAUGAUUUUAGCUUUCCUUUAGCAUAUCUCUGCAACAUAAGCUAUAAUACCAAUGGCACCUUAUUCAAUUCUGAUCUCUCUUAUGAAUCUCUUAGCUGCUUCCUUAGCUGCAUUACCAGUUAGAGGUAAACCUAAAUUUCAUCAUCCCUGGGUAUUGUGAAACUUCGCUCUUUUCUCUCUGUUAUGCUGUCAUAUUGCUGGGAAUGCGACAACACUGCUUUGGAAUGCAUGUCCUGGGGCUGAUGGACAAAUGCCCUCUGUUAAGAGUGUCCUGGAGUCAUGGACACGUUUUCUCUUGUAGGAUCCAUUGCCACUGUGAACUGCAAAGGACUGCCUGGGAAUUUGUCUUUUACAAGCUACCCAGGAGUUCCCGUUGUGGCACAGAGGAAACCAAUCCAACUAGGAAACAUGAGGUUUCUGGUUCGAUCCCUGGCCUUGCUCAGUGGGUUAAGGAUCCGGUGUGGCCGUGAGCUGUGGUGGAGGUCGCAGACGUGGCUCGGAGCCUGUGUUGCUGUGGCUGUGGUGCAGGCCAGCAGCUGCAGCUCUGAUUCGACCCCUAGCCUGGCAACCUCUAUAUGCCAUGGGUGUGGCCCUAAAAGACAAAAAAAAAAAAGAGAAAAAAAAUCUACCUAACUGAUCAUAGCAUGUUAGCAGGGUUGGGAAAAUCUUUCAAUAUAGUUGAUUGCAGACGAGAAUGUGUUUGCACUCAUUUUACGGCUACCCACACUGACUUACGGUGCUCAUAUCGGUGUGUUUUACCAGGUCACCCAAGUCCUCCAUUACUUACUGAGGGCCCAUGAAGCCCACAGUAUGAACUACACAAACUGGGGGUAGAAAAAAGAGGUGUGAGUCAUGUACUGUCCCCAGGCAGCAUAGAGAAGGCUCCAGUAUUUGAAUACGAAGCAACUUCUGCCUAAUCUUCUAAAUAACAUGGUAGCCUAUAAGCAUUCUUUGAUUUAGUAUUUGCCAAUUCAAUCAUCUGCAAAUGAUUGCCUGAUAUUCUCUAUAAACAACAGUGGGCAGACAAGUGACAACGUGCAAUUUCAUUGAAGAACGAUUCUCAUAACUUUGUAUCAACAUCUGAAUCUCAAUAGACCUCUGCUGUUCUCUGCCGAUGGUGCAUAUGUUUUCCGGUGGGAAAUUUUGGUGUCACUGUAGUGACGUGAACAAUUUGGGAACGAAGAAAUCUCUAGACAUGUCCUUUGAAGAGCUCACUAUGCUCCUCAUCUCUCUUUUCUCAAACAUCCCUUCUCUUGUCAGUUUUUUCAAACAUAAUUUCCUCCCAAUGAAUCAAUAUGCAGGAAGGGACUAACUGCAAUCAUUUUACUUGGUGAGCAACAAACAUUAUGACAAUAUGCCAAGCUGUGUGUGAGGGCUGGGACUCAAGGAUUAUUCAGACAUUGUUCCUGCCCUGCAGGGACUCACAGUCCUAUGAGAUGGGGUGAAUGGAGGCUGAUAUUAAUCAAUUUUUUCCUUUCUUUUCAGGGCCACACUUGAGGCAUAUAGAAGUUCCCAGGCCAGGGGUUGAAUUGGAGCCUCAGCCACUGGCCUACACCACAGCCAUAGCAACACCGGAUCUGAGCCGCGUCUUCGAUCUACACCACAGCUCACAGCAAUGCCAGAUCCUUAACCCACUGAGCAAGGCCAGGGAUUGAACCCAUGUCCUCAUAGAUACUAGCUGGGUUCGUUACAGCUGAGCCACAACAGGAACUCCAAUAUUAAUCAAUCUUAUAUGGCUCCCCUUUAAUGCCUGAUACCAUAAUUCUAUGUGGAAUUUCAAAGAUCUUUCAUGGCUGGAUUUUGUAAGAAAAAGUUCAUUUUUUUGAGACUAGGGAGAAGUCUUCUCAUUCUACUUGUUUGAAAUCAAAUAUCUUUUUUUUUUUUUUUUUUGUCUUUUGUCUUUUUUUUGUUGUUGUUGUUGUUGCUAUUUCUUGGGCCGCUCCCGCGGCAUAUGGAGGUUCCCAGGCUAGGGGUUGAAUCGGAGCUGUAGCCACCGGCCUACGCCAGACCCACAGCAACGAGGGAUCCGAGCUGCGUCUGCAACCUACACCACAGCUCACGGCAACGCCGGAUCGGUAACCCACUGAGCAAGGGCAGGGACCGAACCCGCAACCUCAUGGUUCCUAGUCGGAUUCGUUAACCACUGCGUCACGACGGGAACUCCUGAAAUCAAAUAUCUUUCUUAGAUUUCUCGGUUUCCCUGCAGAGAACAAUGUUUAGGGGUUUUCCUCCCAGCCCUUUUAAAACAUGACAUGUGCUGGGCUUCAGUUCAUCUGUCUAUCCCUUGCUUGGCUUCCUUUUCAUCCAGUUUCAUUUUUCUCUUCUUCCUCACGGUCAUCCUCUUCCCACAAGUCUUCAAACAUUAUUAACCUUCUCCUAUCUUUCUAUGUUAACAUUUUAGCACACCUUUUUUGGUGACUACAAUCCUGGAGAGACGUUGCUGAAGUGUACAGGGCAGUGGGCAUGACAGGGGUAAAAGUAGGGCUGCCAAGGUGGCAAGGACCUACUGUAUGGCACAGGUGCCCUACCCAAUACUGCGUAACAACCUAGAUGGGGGAAAUCUGAAAAAGAAUGGAUAGAUGUAUAACUAAUUGCUAUGCACCUGAAACUAACAUAACUUUCUAAGUUAACUAUACUCCAAUAAAAUUCAUUAAAAAAAAAAAAAAGUAAAGAGUUCCUGUUGUGGCUCAGAGUAAUGAACCCAGCCAGCACUCAUGAGGACGUGGGUUCCAUCCCUGGGCUUGCUCAGUGGGUGGAGGAUCUGGUAUUGCUGUGAGCUGUGGUAUAGGCCUGCAGCUCUGAUUCAACCCCUAGCCUGGGAACUUCCAUAUGCUGCAA
rnacentral:lncRNA from 1 species